rnacentral:rRNA from 1 species
AUGAACCCAUACCUGAAGGCUCUGGGCUCCAACUACAGCAACGGUGUCAAAUUCACCAUGGCUGGCUCAACGGUGUCCCGCGGCGUCUCCCAAUUCCCUGAACAUCCAGGUCGAUUCGUUCGUCUACUACAAGCGCAGAUCCCUAGAGCUCUAAAAUUCCGUAUCAGGGUAUUUUUUCAUCGGUUCUAA